AGCUAUAACCAACCAAAAUUUCUAUAAUAAAAUAGUAGGUUUAGAGAAAAAAUUACAUUUGAGUUCAGUAAGGGGUCAAGUAUUAUCAAAUUUUUUCUAGGGUUAUAGUA
rnacentral:rRNA from 1 species